GAUGAACGCUGGCGGCGUGCCUAAUACAUGCAAGUCGAGCGAACAGAUAAGGAGCUUGCUCCUUUGACGUUAGCGGCGGACGGGUGAGUUACACGUGGAUAACCUACCUAUAAGACUGGGAUAACUUCGGGAAACCGGAGCUAAUACCGGAUAACUUAUUGAACCGCAUGGUUCAAUAGUGAAAGGCGGCUUUGCUGUCACUUAUAGAUGGAUCCGCGCCGUAUUAGCUAGUUGGUAAGGUAACGGCUUACCAAGGCAACGAUACGUAGCCGACCUGAGAGGGUGAUCGGCCACACUGGAACUGAGACACGGUCCAGACUCCUACGGGAGGCAGCAGUAGGGAAUCUUCCGCAAUGGGCGAAAGCCUGACGGAGCAACGCUGCGUGAGUGAUGAAGGUCUUCGGAUCGUAAAACUCUGUUAUCAGGGAAGAACAAAUGUGUAAGUAACUGUGCACAUCUUGACGGUACCUGAUCAGAAAGCCACGGCUAACUACGUG
rnacentral:rRNA from 1 species